rnacentral:lncRNA from 1 species
UUAAUUUUCAAACAUGGAUUAACUUCUUAUUCAUUCAUUUACUUUUGUGAUGUAAUUGGAUCAAAUUUUUUGUAUAUAAUCCCAUGUGAAGCAAACACAUGAAUUUAGCUCUAUACAUUUCAGGCCUGGUUCUCAUUUCUAUGUAUACAACUUGGAUAGUUUUAUGAUUAAUAUGCUCGAUAUGAUACCAUGAUUUGAUAUUGCGUUUGUUAAGUGUUUAAUAAAUGUUAUCCAAACUAAUUGCCUCUAGUUGGUCAUGAUGUAAUUCGAUAUUCAUAAGUUGUUUUUGAUAUCAAUAAUCAAAUUUGAGUCGAUAUGUGCAAGAGAUCGCUGUGAAUAUAUGCGUAACAGGUCACUGUGAAAUGUAAUAAGUGUGAGUGAAGUAUGUUUGAAUUUAUAACUCAAAUCCAAUGAUUUUAAUUGCUAAUUUAAGAAUGGAAUGGUACUGUUUAUGUCAAGUGUUCAUUUUCUUCGUAUAUGUGUACAACUUUAAUAACAUGUCUUAAUGCUAUGAAGUAUUAUACUAUUAUUCCACCAAGUCCAAGAGUAAUUCCUUUUCCUUAGAAUUUUCAAUAGCUUCCCGGGGGCGAAGAAGGCUUAUUAAUAUACAGAUUUUGUUAAGUAUCAGCUCAAUAGAAGUAGUCAGGUGUUAAGUAAAUUCCUUGUCAUCAUGUACAUACGGGGUUGUUCCAAAUUGUGCAACAUAGGACUAAACAGAACUUUUCCUUUGAGCUAAUUACCUUCAAGCGCAAGGUUCUCUUAUUUGCCAGAAGAAAAUAAUAAGAGUUCCUCGAUGAAAAAUUCCCAUGUCAUAAUCGAUUGCUCCACUCGUAAUGUUUGAAACCAAAUGUUCAAUCACUCUACAAUGUUGCAUAUAUAGGUUAAGCUGAGCCCAAAUGAUGUCAGUAUUAAUUAUGACACCCACAAGCGAAACACUAAUCAGAUUACAGGAAACCUUCCUAUUUCGGGGGUGGUGUAGGCAUACAGUGACUUAGAUCAGAUGAGUCAAUUUUGAACAUGAAAACAAAUAAGAUGGUAUUUUGUAGGCACUGGAUGUACGAUUAUGAAGUUUCACUUCCCUAACUCCACUGUUUGAUAUGUUUUUAAUCCAAAUAUCUAUAUCUGAAUAGAGAUGAAGUGGCAGAUCAUUAGGAUUGCAAAGAAUAAACUUCAAUAUGAGACCUCCAAGAGAUAAAAGAAUACUGCUGCCGGUUAUUGAAAAUUCAUAUAGUUUAGUUUCUCUACUUCUGAAAGGAAACCUCUGAGAAAACCGGUUGAAGAAAAGGUCAUCAAAAACUAGGUGUGAGUGUAUUUCCCAUUUACCCCUUCAUGUUUUUGAGAGAAUCCUCAUUCUUGCUACACAGUCAACCGGCAAUCACUUUUGAAUUAGGUCUAGUAAGUCACUGGGCAUGUCACUUUUGAAUUAGACCUUAUACCAAAGCGAUUGCCGGUUGACUGUGUAGCGAGAAUGUACAUUCUCUCAAAAACAUGGAGGGGUAAAUGGGAAAUGCACCCACACCUAGUUUUUGAUGACCUUUUUCUUCAACCGGCUUUCUCAGAGGUUUCCUUCCAGAAGUAGAGAAACCAAACUAUAUGAAUUUUGAAGAACCGUCAGCAGUAGUCUUUUAUCUCGUAGUGGUCUCAUAUUGAAGUUUUUUCUUUGCAUUCCUCAUGAUUUGUUUCUUCAUCUCUAUUUAGAUAUAGAUAUUUGGAUUAAAAACAUAACAAACAAUGGAGUUAAGGAAGUGCAACUUCAUAAUCGUACAUUGAGUGCCCACAAAAUACCAUCGUAUUUGUUUUCCUGUUCAGAGUUGACUCGUCUGAUUCUAAGUUGUAUGCUCACACCACCCCGGAAAUUGAAGACUUCCGUAAUCUGAUUACUGUUUUGAUUGUGGGUGUCAUAAUUACAACUGACAUAUCAUUUGGGGCUCAACUUACUGACCUACAUUUGCAAAGUUGCAUUGGGAUUGAACAUUUGAGAAUGGAAAGGCAUUUGUUUAUGUCAAGUGUUCAUUUUCUUCGUAUUUGUGUACAACUUUAAUAACAUGUCUUAAUGCUAUCAAGUAUUAUACUAUUAUUCCACCAAGUACAAGAGUAAUUCCUUUUCCUUAGAAUUUUCGAUGGCUUCCCGGGGGCGUAGAAGGCUUAUUAAUAUACAUAUUUUGUUAAGUAUCAGCUCAAUAGAAGUAGUCAGGUGUUAAGUAGAUUCCUUGUCAUCAUGUACAUACGGGGUUGUUCCAAAUUGUGCAACAUAGGACUCAAAAAAACUUUUUCUUUGAGCUAAUUACCUUCACGCGCAAGGUUCUCUUAUUUGCCAGAAGAAAAUGAUAAGAGUUCCUCGAUGAAAAAUUCCCAUGUCAUAAUCGAUUGCUCCACUCGUAAGGUUUGAAACCAAAUGUUCAAUCACACUACAAAGUUGCAUAUAUAGGUUAGUAAGUUGAGCCCAAAUGAUGUCAGUAUUAAUUAUGACACCCAUAUGCGAAACACUAAUCAGAUUAUAGGAAACCUUCAUAUUUCGGGGGUGGUGUAGGCAUACAGUGACUUAGAUCAGAUGAGUCAAUUUUGAACAUGAAAACAAAUAAGAUGGUAUUUUGUAGGCACUGGAUGUACGAUUAUGAAGUUUCACUUCCCUAACUCCACUGUUUGAUAUGUUUUUAAUCCAAAUAUCUAUAUCUGAAUAGAGAUGAAGUGGCAGAUCAUUAGGAUUGCAAAGAAUAAACUUCAAUAUGAGACCUACAAGAGAUAAAAGAAUACUGCUGCCGGUUAUUGAAAAUUCAUAUAGUUUGGUUUCUCUACUUCUGAAAGGAAGCCUCUGAGAAAGCCGGUCGAAGAAAAGGUCAUCAAAAACUAGGUGUGAGUGUAUUUCCCAUUUACCCUUCAUGUUUUUGAGAGAAUGCUCAUUCUUGCUACACAGUCAACCAGCAAUCACUUUUGAAUUAGGUCUAGUAAGUCACUGGGCAUGUCACUUUUGAAUUAGACAUUAUACCAAAGCGAUUGCCGGUUGACUGUGUAGCAAGAAUGUGCAUUCUCUCAAAAACAUGGAGGGGUAAAUGGGAAAUGCACCCACACCUAGUUUUGAUGACCUUUUCUUCAACCGGCUUUCUCAGAGGUUUCCUUCCAGAAGUAGAGAAACUAAACUAUAUGAAUUUUCAAGAACCGUCAGCAUUAGUCUUUUAUCUCGUAGUGGUCUCAUAUUGAAGUUUGCUCUUUGCAUUCCUCAUGAUUUGUUUCUUCAUCUCUAUUCAGAUAUAGAUAUUUGGAUUAAAAACGUAUCAAACGGUGGAGUUAGGGAAGUGAAACUUCAUAAUCGUACAUCCAGUGCCUACAAAAUACCAUCUUAUUUGUUUUCAUGUUCAGAAUUGACUCAUUUGAUUCUAAGUUGUUGUAUGCUCACACCACCCCGGAAAUUUGAAGACUUCCGUAAUCUGAUUACUGUUUUGCUUUUGGGUGUCAUAAUUACAAUUGACAUAUCAUUUGGGGCUCAACUUACUGACCUACAUUUGCAACGUUGCAUUGGGUUUGAACAUUUGGGUUGUCAAUAUAAAUAUUAUAUCAAUCUCACUUUUCUGAGUAUCACCCAUUGUGGGGAAAUUGAUUGGCUAUGGUUUAGAUGCACCC